rnacentral:rRNA from 1 species
UUCGAGUGGCGGACGGGUGAGUAACGCGUGGGUAACCUGCCUUACACAGGGGGAUAACACCUGGAAACAGGUGCUAAUACCGCAUAAGCGCACAGGGCCGCAUGGCCCGGUGUGAAAAACUCCGGUGGUGUAAGAUGGACCCGCGUCUGAUUAGCUUGUUGGCGGGGUAGAGGCCCACCAAGGCGACGAUCAGUAGCCGGCCUGAGAGGGUGGACGGCCACAUUGGGACUGAGACACGGCCCAAACUCCUACGGGAGGCAGCAG